rnacentral:rRNA from 1 species
GAUUACUGGCUCAGGAUGAACGCUAGCUACAGGCUUAACACAUGCAAGUCGAGGGGCAGCAUGGGAGUUGCUUGCAAUUCCUGAUGGCGACCGGCGCACGGGUGAGUAACGCGUAUCCAACCUUCCCCUUAGUAGGGCAUAGCCCGGUGAAAAUCGGAUUAAUACCCUAUGUUUUCCAAUGCAGACAUCUAAAAUGGAACAAAGGUUUACCGCUAAGGGAUGGGGAUGCGUCUGAUUAGGUAGUAGGCGGGGUAACGGCCCACCUAGCCUUCGAUCAGUAGGGGUUCUGAGAGGAAGGUCCCCCACAUUGGAACUGAGACACGGUCCAAACUCCUACGGGAGGCAGCAGUGAGGAAUAUUGGUCAAUGGGCGAGAGCCUGAACCAGCCAAGUAGCGUGCCAGGAUGACGGCCCUAUGGGUUGUAAACUGCUUUUAUAUGGGGAUAAAGUUCACCACGUGUGGUGUUUUGUAGGUACCAUAUGAAUAAGGACCGGCUAAUUCCGUGCCAGCAGCCGC